rnacentral:rRNA from 1 species
AAACAUCGCCUCCUGCAAAAAUCAAUGUAUAAGAGGUCCUACCUGCCCAGUGAUAAAUUAAACGGCCGCGGUAUUUUGACCGUGCAAAGGUAGCGCAAUCACUUGUUUUUUAAAUAAAGACCUGUAUGAAUGGUGAAACGAGGGCUUAACUGUCUCCCUUUUCUGAUCAGUGAAAUUGAUCUACCCGUGCAGAAGCGGGUAUAAAUAUACAAGACGAGAAGACCCUAUGGAGCUUAAGACACAAAAUCAUCUAUGUUAAAUACCCCCAUUAAAAGACAAAAACAAAACAGCAACUGAUUAGCGUCUUCGGUUGGGGCGACCACGGGGGAAAACCAAUCCCCCACGUGGAACGGGAUAUAAUCCUAAAACCAUGAGGUACACCUCUAAGUCACAGAACUUCUGACCAAAUGAUCCGGCGAAUAGCCGAUCAACGAACCAAGUUACCCUAGGGAUAACAGCGCAAUCCCCUCCAAGAGUUCAUAUCGACAAGGGGGUUUACGACCUCGAUGUUGGAUCAGGACAUCCUAAUGGUGCAGCCGCUAUUAAGGGUUCGUUUGUUCAACGAUUAAAGUCCUAC